rnacentral:rRNA from 1 species
UACGGGGGGAGCAAGCGUUGUUCGGAUUUACUGGGCGUAAAGGGCGCGUAGGCGGCGCGACAAGUCACUUGUGAAAUCUCUGGGCUCAACCCAGAACGGUCAAGUGAUACUGUCGUGCUAGAGUGCGGAAGGGGCAACUGGAAUUCUUGGUGUAGCGGUGAAAUGCGUAGAUAUCAGGAGGAACACCGGUGGCGAAGGCGGAUCUCUGGGCCAUUACUGACGCUGAGGAGCGAAAGCGUGGGGAGCGAACAGG